UAUAGAAAGAACUGCACGGAUAUUGAAUUCAUGGAUCAACAUGUUUGCUAUGGCUGAUCCUCUCUUGGCUUUGAUUUGGUGGCCUGAUUGGGACCCGCAUCU